rnacentral:rRNA from 1 species
GUCUACGGCCACGCCACCAUGAACGUGCCCGAUCUCGCCUGAUCUCGGAAGCUAAGCAGGGUCGGGCCUGGGUAGUACUUGGAUGGGAGACCACCUAAGAAUACCGGAUACUGUAGGCA